rnacentral:misc_RNA from 1 species
CGGGUGGUCGGCUCCCUGCUUGAGCAGGCACGGCCACGCGUGCAUUCCUUUUCAGUUGUGCGGCAAGGCUUGUAUCGUCUUGAUCGUAUAAGUGGGUUUCUUGUGUUGCAUACCUGAUCAAUGGCAUCGUUUUGAUCAAAAUGGUACCUUUUUCGUCUGACGAUGCACUUAUUGCGUUGUCGGAUGAACCGUGUAGCAUCCUCUUUGAUCCAUACAGUUGACGUGUACUCGUUGAUUGUUUGGCCCGUUGAGGGUGACUUGGUCUCUCGGAUAUGGAAGCCAAAGUGGGCAUGGGUUCGCAAGAUCCCUUUAUUGCCCUCAUUGAGCGUUCUCGCUUCUCUUACACGACUGCCUUUCACGUAUGGCACGUCCCAGCGUGUUUGGCNAUGUCGAAGAGGAAU